CUGGAGCGAGCACGCCUCUUAACGUUUGGUGAAUAUGGCGGCGUCCAGAGUCCGUUACAGAGAAAGAGGGACAAGUUACUAGUGACUAUAUCACUGGAGAAAAUGGCUGUCCUGCUUCCAGCAACCAUUACUUGCCAGUACCUUGGCAGGGGUCUGGCCUCAUAAGCCUCCCUCCCAUCCAUGGUGGGAUGGUAACGGGCCCAUCUGGUGCAGGUGAAAAAGGUCCUUCUCCAGCUGCAUGGCUCCUCCUCCCAGUCUGAGCGAAUGUUAUCAUUUUGAAGGAUGGCAGUCCUUUACCCUCUACCCAAUCACGUAACACCAAGGCUCGAGAGCCCCUGCUUAUGCAUUCUCCCAUAUAUUCCCUGAACCCCAAGACUCAAGCAUGGCAUUCCUAACCUGUGGAGCAGGGAAGAUUGUGAUCUGGGUCUGGACUCAUAAUAAAGGCUUUGUGUUUACAUCAGCGCUGUGAUUUCUGGAGGUCUCUUGGGGUUCCCGAGAACUGGGCAUAACACUCUGGGGGCUCGUCCUUCGGCAGCCUCAGCAGAUCCCCAGA
rnacentral:lncRNA from 1 species